CAGCCGUAAACUAUGCGCGUUAGGUGUAUCGGUGACCACGAGUUACCGAGGUGCCGAAGGGAAACCGUGAAACGUGCCGCCUGGGAAGUACGGUCGCAAGGCUGAAACUUAAAGGAAUUGGCGGGGGAGCACCACAAUGGGUGGAGCCUGCGGUUUAAUUGGACUCAACGCCGGACAACUCACCGGGGACGACAGCAAUAUGUAGGCCAGGCUGAAGACCUUGCCUGAAUCGCUGAGAGGAGGUGCAUGGCGUAGACGUCU
rnacentral:rRNA from 1 species